rnacentral:tRNA from 1 species
GGCUCAGUAGCUCAGUCGGUAGAGCAGGGGAUUGAAAAUCCCCGUGUCGGCGGUUCGAUUCCGUCCUGAGCCACCA